rnacentral:rRNA from 1 species
CCUACGGGAGGCAGCAGUGAGGAAUAUUGGUCAAUGGCCGGAAGGCUGAACCAGCCAAGCCGCGUGAAUGACGAAGGUGCCAAGCAUUUUAAACUUCUUUUGUCAAGGGACAAAAUCAUGCUCGAGGGCCUGACCGAGGGUACUUGAAGAAAAAGCAUCGGCUAACUCCGUGCCAGCAGCCGCGGUAAUACGGAGGAUGCGAGCGUUAUCCGGAUUUAUUGGGUUUAAAGGGUGCGUAGGCGGACUGUUAAGUCAGAGGUAAAAGCCCGGGGCUCAACCCCGGCGAGCGUUUGAAACUGGCUGUCUUGAGAUGUCGAGAGGAAUGCGGAAUGCGCAGUGUAGCGGUGAAAUGCUUAGAUAUUGCGAAGAACUCCGAUUGCGAAGGCAGCAUACCGGCGGCGAUCUGACGCUGAGGCACGAAAGCGUGGGUAUCGAACAGGAUUAGAUACCCGAGUAGUC